AUGAAGAACGUACUCUAUAAAAGACUCGUAAAUAAAAACACAAAUAUAUACUAUAAUAAUGCAGUAGUUCAUUAUAUAAAAAGGAAUUUUUUUUUUUGUACAGCAUACUGCUGUUUUAGCAAUAGUAGUAAUAAUAAGUAUAAUUUUAAUAGUAGUAGCAACAACAACAGCAACAGCACUGAUAGAAAAGUAAACAUUGCAGAAUUAAAAAAACAGUUGUCAAGCGAAAAAAUAAAUUUAGACUAUUUUACAAAUAUACUUAAAAAUAUCGAAGAAAAAAAUAAGACAAAAGACGAUGAUUGGACUAUUGAAGAUUUGUUAUUAGUAUUAGUAUUAAUUAAUAAAAAUUAUAAAUAUUAUGAAAAAAUAAUAUGUUCAAAGUAUUAUGAAAAAGUAUGUUUGAUCAUAAAAAAUAAUAUAAAAUUACGAAUUCAUUAUUUACAUACUUGUAAAAUGUUAAUACAUGCAAUGCAUAUAUUAACAAAUUGUAAAUACAUAGAUGAUGUUAUAUUAGAUUGUUAUUCUAAUAAAUGUUUUUAUUUUAUAAAAAAUGAAGAAUAUGAAAUACAUGACUUUGUUCAACUUUUGUAUAUUUUUAGUAAAAUACAAAUCAUAAAAAAGGAGUUACAAUUUUCAAAAUUAAAACCAUUAAACUGGCAGAUUAUUAAAAUUAUAUGUGAUAAAUUAACGUACAAUUUUGAUGUUUUAUUUAUGUUGUAUAAAGAUAAUACUUAUACAUAUUAUGUAAAAAAAAUGAUAAAAGAAAAAAUAAAAAAUAUAACAAAUGACUUAGUUGAUAAUAAGAGUAAUAACAACCGUAACGAGGGAGGUAACACCACUACUACUACUACUGCUAAUACUACUACUGCCACUCCUACUAAUAGUAAACAUUUGCGUAAUAUAAAAACAGUUAACUAUGAUGCUGGAGUAAAUGAAAACAAAAAUAACCACUAUAAAAUGGAUUCUACUGAUAGUUUUGGUGAUAUAUCAAGUGAACAUUAUUACUACUUAGAUAUACUAAUAACCAUUACUAACAGUUUAAAAAAUUUGAAUUAUAUACACAUUGCUUUGUUAAACGAAGUUGCAAAUAAAAUAAAAAAUGAUUAUAUCGAGAGUAAUAGUACUUAUAGUAACAACUUAAAAGUCGAAUAUAUAAAUAAAAUUUUUUACAUUAUGAAAUGUUAUUUGUAUUUACAAGUAGAUCAUCAUAUGUUUUAUAAAAGCAUACUAAAUACAUUUAAUGAAUAUUUAAAUUGUUGUAAUACUAUAGUAACACUUUUUUAUUUAUUAGCAAAAAAUAAAUUAUUUCCAAGUAAAACUUUUAAUAUGUUUGAUAAUAUAUUUUUGGAAAAUAUAAAAAAGGGACUUUAUGAUUUUAAACAAUUAAUUACUCUUUUAGAAGCAUAUGCAUUACAUAAAUAUAGACAAGUUGAAGUUAUAGAUUAUAUUUUAAAUAACUUCGUAUUAUUACGACCAAACGUUUAUAAAUCACCAUUAUAUAUUGAAAGAAAAACAGAUAUACAUGGUUUUAAAAAUGAAACUACCGACUUUUAUCAAAGCCACAGUCAGAAUCAAAACCUUGUCUUAGAACAGAACGAAAACCAAACCCAUAACCAAACCCAUAACUACAACCACAUCAACAUUAUCGACAAAAUAAAAAUUUGCUACAACCUUUUCAAAUUAGACAUAUACGAACAAGACCUAAUUCAUGACAUAUGCAACAAUUUGAAUAACAACAAUAUACAUGAAAUAAAUAGCAAGAUAUUAAUUAAUUUUUUAUUGAGCUUGUGUUAUUUUUCAAUUGAAAAUUUAUAUAUAUAUAAUUUAAUACUUACAAACUUAAUAAAAUAUGACAUAUUUUUAGACAAUACAGUUUACCUAACACAACUAAAAAUAAUAGAAUUUGCAUUAAGAAUACAACACGUUCCUAAUAUAUAUAACAAUUUGAAUAAUGAAUGUUUAGAAUAUUUGAAUUAUAUAAAUAAUAAAAAUAAACAUAUAGAAUAUAAUAUUAAGUCGGAUUUACAAAAUGAAAUCAGACAUAUAUUAUUAACUUUUAAUUUAACCCCGAUGGAAGAAAUUUCAAUAGGUCCUUAUAAUGCAGAUUUUGUACAGCAAGAAGAAACUUUAUAUAGUUUUAAAAAAAAAGAUAUAUGGAUGAAAAUGGUAUUAUGCGAUCGUAUACAACAGAUGUAA
ensembl:lncRNA